AACCCCUUAGCUCAAUGGUAGAGUGGCAACCUUUCAAUUUGACAGUGUAGGUUCAAAUCCUGAAUGGGCUA
rnacentral:tRNA from 1 species